UGGACCUGGGCCGUUUGAAUUUAUGUACGAAGUCCGAUACCCUUUUACUUAGCUAUCUAUGCAGGCUUUUGUUUGCUUUGAUGGUAUAUCGGACAGACGAGUUCAACAAACACGGGGGACGUUCGAGAACAAUUUUUGGGUUACUGUUUUAAUUAGACUAGUUUGACUAACUAUUGCUGUAUCUGUUCCCUCAUCUGUAGUCUGUCAUGAACUCUGUCAAGGUCUCACGUAAAGACUGGAGCUGAUUGAGUCAUGUUCAUCUUCAACUCGAAACUAUGCCUACAAGGAUCAGGACUUUGACACCUGAUAGUCUCGACAUUCCUCUGCGAUAUGAUCACGUUAAAGAGUGAAGAGUAUCUCGACAAACCAACACAAGUCCAUCCACAAAAAAUGAAGGAAGAGACUUUCACACAAGAAGUACUUAGAUUGUGAGAUCUCACAAUCUAACUCCUUGGAGGC